AUUGUUGUAAAUAUGGAAAAAAUUAUUAAACAAUCUGUUCUUAUCAGCUUAAUAUCUGAUAUGUUAGGCAAUGCCUAACUCAUAUAUUAAACUGAUUUUUGGACUUCGGCCAUGGGAUUGAAGCUUGCUUCGCCCUGGCCACAGGUUGUCUCGGUAUUGCACUACAUCCGAGUACGGCCCCUUCCCC
rnacentral:snRNA from 1 species